AAAAUACCGCAUGAAAAUAUGACAAAGAAGUAUGAUCUGUUCCAGAUGAUUGGAUAACAAGAUCCAAAAUGAGGAAACAACGACUUAUACUGAUUCAAAUGAAGAGUUAGUUCCCAAGGACCUUCAUUCUCAUGGAUAGUCUUCAUUCUCUGCUGCACCAAUACAUAUGAGUUUUUAUUAGACUGGGAGGAAAUGUUUCCUAUUCAAACACACUUAAUUUUUCUAUAGCCAUGCAAGCAAGAGAAAAAUAAUAAACAAUCUAAUG